CUUUCCUUCGGGACAGAGGAGACAGGUGGUGCAUGGUUGUCGUCAGCUCGUGUCGUGAGAUGUUGGGUUAAGUCCCGCAACGAGCGCAACCCUUAUGCUUAGUUGCCAGCAGGUCAAGCUGGGCACUCUAAGCAGACUGCCGGUGACAAACCGGAGGAAGGUGGGGAUGACGUCAAAUCAUCAUGCCCCUUAUGACCUGGGCUACACACGUACUACAAUGGCCGGUACAACGGGAAGCGAAGCCGCGAGGUGGAGCCAAUCCUAGAAAAGCCGGUCUCAGUUCGGAUUGUAGGCUGCAACUCGCCUACAUGAAGUCGGAAUUGCUAG
rnacentral:rRNA from 1 species